CUUAUGGGUCAUUGUAAUUGUUCAAGUAAACUCUGAAAACGUUGGCAGUUAUUCUCACGUGGAGAGGCUCCCUCACGAAUCCAUCACGCUGUGCAGUGUGCCCAUGCGUCAGUAGAGGCAGAAAGUGAAGGAAGACACCAAAGUCACUAGAGCACCUUUAGGUUCACGGCGCAGUUGAGGUGUGGAGAUUUCCCAUAUACCCACUGCCUUCACACGUGCACAGCCUCCGCCGUUUGCAACAUUCUUCGCCAGGGGAUUUGAAGGCAGUUCCGAGAGUAAUUCCGGAAACAUUCCGAGCAAUAUGAUAGUGCCACCUGGGAAGAGAUACAUAGUGUUCCAUGGGGACGCCUUGGAACGCAAGCCUCAUUUGGAUGUGUAGAUUUCUGAUAAUCAAAAUUAGUCCAUCUUUCCUUCACCCCCCCCCCCCUUCUUCCAUCUUUGUUUCAGUUUCACAAAAGAUUUAGGGAUGUAGCUUAAUGACUGAUUUCAAUUAAAGCUACUUUGAAAUGUAGAAAUAUA